rnacentral:rRNA from 1 species
AACAAACGCUGGCGGCGUGCCUAAUACAUGCAAGUCAAACGGGUAGCAAUACUAGUGGCGCACGGGUGAGGAAUACAUGGGUAAUCUGCCCUCGAGUUGGGGAUAACCAGUCGAAAGAUUGGCUAAUACCGGAUAAGACCACAAGAUCUGCGGAUCAAGGGGUUAAAGGUUUUUUCGCUUGAGGAUGAGCCCAUGUGGGAUUAGCUAGUUGGUGAGGUAAUGGCUCACCAAGGGCGACGAUCCCCUAACUGGGUCUUUAGAGGAUGAUCAGUCACACUGGAACUGAGACACGGUCCAGACUCCUACGGGAGCAGCAGUAGGGAAUAUUGCACAAUGGGGGAAACCCUGAUGCAGCGACGCCGCGUGAGUGAUGAAGGCCUUCGGGUCGUAAAGCUCUGUCGUAUGGGAAUAACACAAUGAAUGUACCAUGC